rnacentral:misc_RNA from 1 species
UCAAACUUGGUCAUUUAGAGGAAGUAAAAGUCGUAACAAGGUUUCCGUAGGUGAACCUGCGGAAGGAUCAUUACCGAUGGCAGCCGCGAACGCCACCUGACGGGAGCGGCGGCCGUUACCCACACCCCUACUGUAUCCGUACCUCUCGUUUCUUCCCUCGGCAGGGUAGCCUGCCGCUGGAAUCUCCGAACAACCUCUUUGCAUCCAGCAUUACCUGUUCCGAUACCGUACAAUCGUUACAACUUUCAACAAUGGAUCUCUUGGCUCUGGCAUCGAUGAAGAACGCAGC